GACAGAGGGUGCAAACGUUGUUCGGAUUUACUGGGCGUAAAGCGCGUGUAGGCGGCUUCGCAAGUUGGAUGUGAAAUCCCACGGCUCACCCGUGGAACUGCUGGGCAUACUGGCGAUCUUGGGCCAACUAGGGGCAGCCGGAACAAGCGGUGGAGCGGUGAAAUGCGUAGAUAUCGCUUGGAACGCCAAAGGUGAAAACAGGCUGCUGGGGUUGUGCCGACGCUGAGACACGAAAGCCAGGGGAGCAAACGGG
rnacentral:rRNA from 1 species